ACCCAGACUCCUACGGGAGGCAGCAGUGGGGAAUAUUGCACAAUGGGGGAGACCCUGAUGCAGCGACGCCGCGUGAGUGAAGAAGUAUUUCGGUAUGUAAAGCUCUCUCAGCAGGGAAGAUAAUGACGGUACCUGACUAAGAAGCCCCGGCUAACUACGUGCCAGCAGCCGCGGUAAUACGUAGGGGGCAAGCGUUAUCCGGAUUUACUGGGUGUAAAGGGAGCGUAGGUGGCAGGGCAAGUCAGAUGUGAAAACCCGGGGCUCAACCCCGGGAGUGCAUUUGAAACUGUCCAGCUGGAGUGCAGGAGAGGUAAGCGGAAUUCCUAGUGUAGCGGUGAAAUGCGUAGAUAUUAGGAGGAACACCAGUGGCGAAGGCGGCUUACUGGACUGUAACUGACGUUGAGGCUCGAAAGCGUGGGGAGCAAACAGGAUUAGAUACCUCUGUA
rnacentral:rRNA from 1 species